rnacentral:lncRNA from 1 species
CAAAGUACAGUGGUAGGUGAAACUCACUACGCAUUAUUUCAUUUUAGCAAUCAGAAAAAUGUGUUUUGUGUCAAAACGUUUUGUGUCCAUUUGCGUGUUGAGAGUGAAAAAUUAGCAAAACAUUUACAAUAAUGUUUAACCAGAGCUUACCACAGCGCGUAGCAAGUAGAGGAUAUAUAUAUGAAGAUUAAUAACUAUCUAAUUACUGAUAACAGAGGUGAACAUUACAAUACUUUAGUCAUGUCUAGUGGCUGAUCCUGGUAUAUUUUGUAGGGAUUUUUGAAAUUAACAAAGCGGUAUAUUUCUGGGACAACGUAUAUUCUUUGCGCAAUUUAUUUCUCUAGUUUACCAUUGUUAGAUAGUGUCCAGUCUAUAUCGGCUGAAAAUGUGACAACGAACGUAUCUUGUUUCAUUUAUGUGAAACGUGUAACUUUCGUUGUGGUAAAACUUGUAACACCAAUUUGAUGUUGUCUCUUCAAAAAGUUUUGCUUAUAGUAUUGUAUCAAGAUUUUAAACUUAUAUAGAUGUUUAACAUGUAUGUCAAUUCUUCAUUUAGAAUUGCAAAAACAUUUUCAUUUUAACUGAAAAAAUAAUAUUCUUUGAUAAGUUGUCCAAAAGAAUAUCAGGUAAUAAGCUAUCGCAAAUCCAACUAAUCAAAUUACAAUUUUGUAGUAGUACCUACGACAAAAGUGAAGAGGUAUCACAGUACCUUCACCCAAAAGUACAAGGAACGUAUAUUAAAUAAAACUUAUAAUAAGGAGAGAAACCAUGCGGUAAUAGAAUCUCAGAUGUCGUAUCUAAAAUAUAUUUGUGGUUGACGAUCCAAAUGGCCAGUGUGGUUUUGGAAACAAUUGCUUGGAAAAUCGCUGUGGAUGUGCGCCCAAACCACCUGCGGAUGGCCUUCAGGCAUGAAUUCUGGCGUCUUCCGAUGGAUCUUUUUCCCUGAAUCUUCCCUUCGAUGAUGAGUUUCAGGAUUUAGUACAUCAAUCAAAUAAUUAAUAAAUGCAACGAAGCCUUGAAAGAAGUAAAACAUAUUUAAUAAAAAAUCAUCUUAAUGUUCAUAUUAUAUUCGUAUUAUAACAUAUAAUUCUAUGGAAAAAUGCCACUAUCACUUAUCACUAUUUGUCCAACAUUACAACUAAUUAAACAAAGUAAAUACUUAGGUUUCAAUUUAGUUUAUACAUACUAACUAAGAUUAAAGUAUAGUCAUUCCUGAUUUUUUUUACUUUUACAUUUUUUCUUUCCCUUAAUUUGUGAUGAAUGCUCUGGACCACAAAAUAAUUUUACAUAAUCUGUUUAUAAGAAUGAUUGAUAGCAGUAAAAUAAAAUUGAAACCUUGUUUUAGAAAAGGCGAGCUUAAUAUUACAUGUAUACUGAAAGUGAUCAAAACUUGUUCAUAUUUGUCAAAGAAUGACCGAGAAAAAAAUUCAUAAAAAUGGAAUAUUGAAAUUAGAAGAUACCAUUGUGAGCGUUGAAACUCAUUACUGGUUUGAUGUAAUUAACUGCAAUUUAUGGACGUUGGCAACUCACAAAAUAUCGGUUUGUUUGUUUUUUCUCUUGUUUCUAGUAUGUGCAAUUAUCUGUAGUCUUAUCGUUAUUGCUCUACAAUAAGCUCAUUUUCUUACAGUCUUUUGUUGUUGUUAUCCAGAGCUGUUAUCAAUCAAGCAUAAUAAGUUCCUACUUUCUAUUAAAAUCCAAUGUAAAUGCCA